UACGAAGGGGGGCUAGCGUUGCUCGGAAUCACUGGGCGUAAAGCGCACGUAGGCGGGUCUUUAAGUCAGGGGUGAAAUCCCGGAGCUCAACUCCGGAACUGCCUUUGAUACUGAGGAUCUUGAGUUCGAGAGAGGUAAGUGGAAUUCCGAGUGUAGAGGUGAAAUUCGUAGAUAUUCGGAAGAACACCAGUGGCGAAGGCGACUUACUGGACGAUUGUUGACGCUGAGGUGCGAAAGCGUGGGGGAGCAAACAGG
rnacentral:rRNA from 1 species